GUUAUGUACUAAUUUACAUAUGUCAGGAUAAUGAAGUUCUGUUUGCAAAGCACUUUCUUCCAUAUGUUUCUUUAUUUGCUUACUGUACUUUCCAACUUUUUGUUUGGAAAAUAGUAUACUUUGAGUUUGUUUUACUGCCUGGAGAAAGAAUGAGAGCCCUUUCUCACAGGGGCGUUCACGUGGACGACCGAACUGAGUCUUCUUCUUUUUUAUAUCUCCAAAUUCAAAUAUGGUUUGAUUUGAUAGAAUAUCAGUCUAACAUGUUGAGAUUGUGAGUCUACAAAAACAAUUACAGAUACUAUCAAUUCAUAGCUCCCCUCAUUUUUGUAAAUUAUUCUCACAUGAAAAAUACUGUUUGUUCCUCUCUUUUUUACUGCAAAACGCAAGGAGAAAGGACGAUAUGGUAGUCAAGUUCUUCCUGGAAAUCUUGCCUUGGUUGAUCUUGCGGGCAGGCCUUAGUCUCAGUUUGAUCUUGCCGUUCUGCGUCUCAAUGUUGAUGACUACCAUGAGGCACUGCACAGUUAAGCUCAUCUGGACCACAGUGUGUUGGUUAGAUGUGCUCUCGCAUUGAUGGUCUAGCAAAUGG